GUACACGCUGUGACUAGCAUAUCAAUAAGCGGAGGAAAAGAAACUAACAAGGAUUCCCUCAGUAACGGCGAGUGAAGCGGGAAGAGCUCAAAUUUGAAAUCUUGAAAGGUCACCUUUCACGAAUUGUAGUUUAAAGAAGUGUUUUCUGUUACGAUCGUAAUAUAAGUUCUUUGGAAUAGGACAUCACAGAGGGUGAGAAUCCCGUCUAUGAUUGCGAUUUGUAGCUUUGUGAUACACUUUCAAAGAGUCGGGUUGUUUGGGAAUGCAGCCCAAAACGGGAGGUAAAUUUCAUUCUAAAGCUAAAUAUUGGCGAGAGACCGAUAGCGAACAAAGUACCGUGAGGGAAAGAUGAAAAGAACUUUGAAAAGAGAGUUAAAUAGUACGUGAAAUUGUCAAAAGGGAAGCGUUUAACACCAGUGUUGUUUUCUGAAAAUCAAUUAAAGAACUGUUUAUGCUAAGCUGUUUAGACUUUAUCAGCUAUCUGUUUAGUUUUGAGCUUUUCUUUAAUGCACUUUUCAGUUAACAAGUCAACAUCAAUUUCUUUUGCUGUAAAAAAGCUUGAGGAAGGUGGCUUGAGAUUCGUCUUAAGUGUUUAUAGCCUCUUGCCUAUGCAGUCGGAGAGAUUGAGGUCUGCAGCGUAGAUCCUUCGGGGCUAAAUGCAUUUGUGCUAAGUUAUAGCAUUUUAUAGACAACUUGUUGACUAUGAUUUGUCUUGUAGCUUACUCGCUUAUGUUAUUUUACCUACGCUUAGGAUGUUGAACUACUGAGACAUAG
rnacentral:rRNA from 1 species